rnacentral:rRNA from 1 species
UGAUGCAGCGACGCCGCGUGAGGGAUGACGGCCUUCGGGUUGUAAACCUCUUUCAGUAGGGAAGAAGCGAAAGUGACGGUACCUGCAGAAGAAGCGCCGGCUAACUACGUGCCAGCAGCCGCGGUAAUACGUAGGGCGCAAGCGUUAUCCGGAAUUAUUGGGCGUAAAGAGCUCGUAGGCGGUUUGUCGCGUCUGCCGUGAAAGUCCGGGGCUCAACUCCGGAUCUGCGGUGGGUACGGGCAGACUAGAGUGAUGUAGGGGAGACUGGAAUUCCUGGUGUAGCGGUGAAAUGCGCAGAUAUCAGGAGGAACACCGAUGGCGAAGGCAGGUCUCUGGGCAUUAACUGACGCUGAGGAGCGAAAGCAUGGGGAGCGAACAGGAUUAGAUACCCUGGUAGUCCAUGCCGUAAACGUUGGGCACUAGGUGUGGGGGACAUUCCACGUUUUCCGCGCCGUAGCUAACGCAUUAAGUGCCCCGCCUGGGGAGUACGGCCGCAAGGCUAAAACUCAAAGGAAUUGACGGGGGCCCGCACAAGCGGCGGAGCAUGCGGAUUAAUUCGAUGCAACGCGAAGAACCUUACCAAGGCUUGACAUGGACUGGAUCGCCGCAGAAAUGUGGUUUCCCCUUUGGGGCUGGUUCACAGGUGGUGCAUGGUUGUCGUCAGCUCGUGUCGUGAGAUGUUGGGUUAAGUCCCGCAACGAGCGCAACCCUCGUUCUAUGUUGCCAGCGCGUUAUGGCGGGGACUCAUAGGAGACUGCCGGGGUCAACUCGGAGGAAGGUGGGGACGACGUCAAAUCAUCAUGCCCCUUAUGUCUUGGGCUUCACGCAUGCUACAAUGGCCGGUACAAAGGGUUGCGAUACUGUGAGGUGGAGCUAAUCCCAAAAAGCCGGUCUCAGUUCGGAUUGGGGUCUGCAACUCGACCCCAUGAAGUCGGAGUCGCUAGUAAUCGCAGAUCAGCAACGCUGCGGUGAAUACGUUCCCGGGCCUUGUACACACCGCCCGUCAAGUCACGAAAGUUGGUAACACCCGAAGCCGGUGGCCUAACCCCUUGUGGGAGGGAGCUGUCGAAGGUGGGACUGGCGAUUGGGACUA